GACGAACGCUGGCGGCGUGCCUAAUACAUGCAAGUCGAGCGGACCACUUCGGUGGUCAGCGGCGGACGGGUGAGUAACACGUGGGCAACCUGCCUGUAAGACUGGGAUAACACCGGGAAACCGGUGCUAAUACCGGAUAAUCCUUUCCUUCACAUGAGGGAAAGCUGAAAGACGGUUUCGGCUGUCACUUACAGAUGGGCCCGCGGCGCAUUAGCUAGUUGGUGAGGUAACGGCUCACCAAGGCAACGAUGCGUAGCCGACCUGAGAGGGUGAUCGGCCACACUGGGACUAAGACACGGCCCAGACUCCUACGGGAGGCAGCAGUAGGGAAUCUUCCGCAAUGGACGAAAGUCUGACGGAGCAACGCCGCGUGAGCGAUGAAGGCCUUCGGGUCGUAAAGCUCUGUUGUCAGGGAAGAACAAGUACCGGAGUAACUGCCGGUACCUUGACGGUACCUGACCAGAAAGCCACGGCUAACUACGUGCCAGCCGCCGCCGUAAUAC
rnacentral:rRNA from 1 species